AGCUGGGAAGGGAACCUGGGUGUGACCCUGGGGCCGGGGCUGAGCGGGGAGAGGGACCGGAGAAGGGACGGGGCUGCUGGAACCAAGGAGGGCGACCAGAGGAGCACGGGCCCCCACCCCAGCCCCAGCUCCCAGGUGGUACACCGACCUGUCACUCAAAAAGCAGCCUGUGAGUUUUCGGAAGAACAGAUUCUUGGCCGUGGAGCCAACACAGGUUUCUCCUGCAGCUGUGUGUUCUCCCCACGGUGAAGGAACCGUCUUCUCUGGGCGCCUGUGAAGUGCUGUUGGAUUCGCCCGCAGUGCCAGCCCCUUCCCAUGAACACUGUCGGUCUCAUUCUGUUGCUCAUGUCUUGAGGCUUCUCUACACGCCUAUCAUAUUGACGCCAUCAUACAUACUCAUGGAUCUUUUCUUUUGUGCCGUUCAGUUUUUCUGUUAUAUGCAAGAAGACGCUCUCUGCCCACAGGACCACGUGGACACUCUUCUUUCUCCCAUCACGCUGGAAUUCUUGUUUCUGUGCUUACAGCUUUAACCUCAGUGGGAUC
rnacentral:lncRNA from 1 species